GGGGCGGGGGGGGCAGCUACACAUGCAGUCGAGCGGCAGCACGGGAAGCUUGCUUCCUGGUGGCGAGCGGCGGACGGGUGAGUAAUGCAUAGGAAUCUGCCCGGUAGUGGGGGAUAACCUGGGGAAACCCAGGCUAAUACCGCAUACGUCCUACGGGAGAAAGCAGGGGCUCUUCGGACCUUGCGCUAUCGGAUGAGCCUAUGUCGGAUUAGCUGGUUGGUGAGGUAAUGGCUCACCAAGGCGACGAUCCGUAGCUGGUCUGAGAGGAUGAUCAGCCACAUCGGGACUGAGACACGGCCCGAACUCCUACGGGAGGCAGCAGUGGGGAAUAUUGGACAAUGGGCGCAAGCCUGAUCCAGCCAUGCCGCGUGUGUGAAGAAGGCCCUCGGGUUGUAAAGCACUUUCAGUGGGGAAGAAAGCCUGGUGGUUAAUACCCGUCAGGAAGGACAUCACCCACAGAAGAAGCACCGGCUAACUCCGUGCCAGCAGCCGCGGUAAUACGGAGGGUGCGAGCGUUAAUCGGAAUUACUGGGCGUAAAGCGCGCGUAGGUGGCUUGAUAAGCCGGUUGUGAAAGCCCCGGGCUCAACCUGGGAACGGCAUCCGGAACUGUCAGGCUAGAGUGCAGGAGAGGAAGGUAGAAUUCCCGGUGUAGCGGUGAAAUGCGUAGAGAUCGGGAGGAAUACCAGUGGCGAAGGCGGCCUUCUGGACUGACACUGACACUGAGGUGCGAAAGCGUGGGUAGCAAACAGGAUUAGAUACCCUGGUAGUCCACGCCGUAAACGAUGUCGACUAGCCGUUGGGUCCUUCGCGGACUUUGUGGCGCAGUUAACGCGAUAAGUCGACCGCCUGGGGAGUACGGCCGCAAGGUUAAAACUC
rnacentral:rRNA from 1 species